rnacentral:misc_RNA from 1 species
UAGCAGUAGCAGUGGGUGGG